rnacentral:rRNA from 1 species
UGGGGAAUAUUGGACAAUGGGGGAAACCCUGAUCCAGCGACGCCGCGUGUGUGAAGAAGGCCUGCGGGUUGUAAAGCACUUUUAGUGGGGAUGAAAAGCUCAGGGCUAAUACCUCUGGGUCUUGACCUAACCCAAAGAAAAAGCACCGGCUAACUCUGUGCCAGCAGCCGCGGUAAUACAGAGGGUGCGAGCGUUAAUCGGAAUUACUGGGCGUAAAGCGUGCGUAGACGGUUAUGUAAGUCGGGUGUGAAAGCCCCGGGCUCAACCUGGGAAUUGCAUUCGAGACUGCAUAGCUAGGGUGCGGAAGAGGGAAGCGGAAUUUCAGGUGUAGCGGUGAAAUGCGUAGAUAUCUGAAGGAACACCAGUGGCGAAAGCGGCUUCCUGGUCCAGCACCGACGUUCAGGCACGAAAGCGUGGGGAGCAAACAGGAUUAGAUACCCCCGUAGUCC